rnacentral:rRNA from 1 species
AUGCCUAGUACGGCGAGUGAGCGGCAACAGCUCAAAUUUGAAAGCUGGCUUAGGCCCGCAUUGUAAUUUGCAGAGGAUGCUUCUGGCGAGGUGCCUUCCGAGUUCCCUGGAACGGGACGCCAUAGAGGGUGAGAGCCCCGUAUGGAUGGACACCAGACCUGUGUGAAGCUCCUUCAACGAGUCGAGUAGUUUGGGAAUGCUGCUCUAAAUGGGAGGUAAAUCUCUUCUAAAGCUAAAUACCGGCCAGAGACCGAUAGCGCACAAGUAGAGUGAUCGAAAGAUGAAAAGCACCUUGAAAAGGGGGUUAAACAGUACGUGAAAUUGUUGAAAGGGAAGCGCUUGUGACCAGACUUGCGCCGGGCAGCUCAUCAGGGGUUCUCCCCUGUGCACUCUGCCCGGCUCAGGCCAGCAUCGGUUCUCGUGGGAGGAUAAGAACGGUAGGAACGUGGCCCCCCUCCGGGGGGGUGUUAUAGCCUGCCGUACGAUACUCCCGUGGGGACCGAGGUUCGCGCUCCGCAAGGAUGCUGGCGUAAUGGUCAUCAGCGACCCGUCUAACCC